rnacentral:rRNA from 1 species
UCGAGAAUCUUCCGCAAUGGACGAAAGUCUGACGGAGCGACGCCGCGUGCGGGAUGAAGGCCUUCGGGUUGUAAACCGCUGUCAUAGGGGAGGAAAUUUUGACCGAUCCUAAGAGGAAGCACAGGCUAAGUUCGUGCCAGCAGCCGCGGUAAUACGAACUGUGCGAACGUUAUUCGGAAUCACUGGGCUUAAAGGGUGCGUAGGCGGCUGUAAGGGUCAGAUGUGAAAUCCCACGGCUCAACCGUGGAACUGCGUUUGAAACCGUACAGCUUGAGGAAGUCAGAGGUAAGCGGAACUGAUGGUGGAGCGGUGAAAUGCGUUGAUAUCAUCAGGAACACCGGUGGCGAAAGCGGCUUACUGGGACUUUUCUGACGCUGAGGCACGAAAGCCAGGGGAGCGAACGGGAUUAGAUACCCCCGUAGUCC